UACAGAGGUCUCAAGCGUUGUUCGGAUUCAUUGGGCGUAAAGGGUGUGUAGGUGGCGCGCUAAGUCGGGUGUGAAAUUUCGGAGCUUAACUCCGAAACUGCAUUCGAUACUGCGGUGCUUGAGGACUGGAGAGGAGACUGGAAUUCAUGGUGUAGCAGUGAAAUGCGUAGAGAUCAUGAGGAAGACCAGUGGCGAAGGCGGGUCUCUGGACAGUUCCUGACGCUGAGGAGCGAAAGUGUGGGGAGCGAACAGG
rnacentral:rRNA from 1 species